rnacentral:rRNA from 1 species
AGCGAACGCUGGCGGCAAGCCUAACACAUGCAAGUCGAACGAACUCUUCGGAGUUAGUGGCGGACGGGUGAGUAACACGUGGGAACGUGCCUUUAGGUUCGGAAUAACUCAGGGAAACUUGUGCUAAUACCGAAUGUGCCCUUCGGGGGAAAGAUUUAUCGCCUUUAGAGCGGCCCGCGUCUGAUUAGCUAGUUGGUGAGGUAAAGGCUCACCAAGGCGACGAUCAGUAGCUGGUCUGAGAGGAUGAUCAGCCACAUUGGGACUGAGACACGGCCCAAACUCCUACGGGAGGCAGCAGUGGGGAAUCUUGCGCAAUGGGCGAAAGCCUGACGCAGCCAUGCCGCGUGAAUGAUGAAGGUCUUAGGAUUGUAAAAUUCUUUCACCGGGGACGAUAAUGACGGUACCCGGAGAAGAGGCUCCGGCUAACUUCGUGCCAGCCGCCGCGGUAAUAC